rnacentral:rRNA from 1 species
UGGGGAAUUUUGCGCAAUGGGCGAAAGCCUGACGCAGCAACGCCGCGUGCGGGAUGAAGGCCUUCGGGUUGUAAACCGCUUUCAGCAGGGAUGAAAUUGACAGUACCUGCAGAAGAAGCCCCGGCUAACUACGUGCCAGCAGCCGCGGUAAUACGUAGGGGGCAAGCGUUAUCCGGAUUCAUUGGGCGUAAAGAGCGCGUAGGCGGCUUGUUAAGUCAGAUGUGAAAACCGGGGGCUCAACCCGCGGCCUGCAUCUGAAACUGGCAGGCUUGAGUCUGGUAGAGGAAAGUGGAAUUCCCAGUGUAGCGGUGAAAUGCGCAGAUAUUGGGAGGAACACCAGUGGCGAAGGCGGCUUUCUGGGCCACGACUGACGCUGAGGCGCGAA